rnacentral:rRNA from 1 species
CGCGCAGGCGGGUUUGUAAGUCAGAGGUGAAAUCCUACAGCUUAACUGUAGAACUGCCUUUGAUACUGCAGGCCUUGAGUUCGAAAGAGAGAGACGGAAUUCCAGGUGUAGUGGUGAAAUACGUAGAUAUCUGGAAGAACACCAGUGGCGAAGGCGGUCUCUUGGUUCGCAACUGACGCUGAGGCGCGAAAGCGUGGGGAGCAAACA